GAUGAACGCUAGCGGCGUGCCUAAUACAUGCAAGUCGAGCGAACAGACGAGGAGCUUGCUCCUCUGACGUUAGCGGCGGACGGGUGAGUAACACGUGGAUAACCUACCUAUAAGACUGGGAUAACUUCGGGAAACCGGAGCUAAUACCGGAUAAUAUAUUGAACUGCAUGGUUCAAUAGUGAAAGACGGUUUUGCUGUCACUUAUAGAUGGAUCCGCGCCGCAUUAGCUAGUUGGUAAGGUAACGGCUUACCAAGGCAACGAUGCGUAGCCGACCUGAGAGGGUGAUCGGCCACACUGGAACUGAGACACGGUCCAGACUCCUACGGGAGGCAGCAGUAGGGAAUCUUCCGCAAUGGGCGAAAGCCUGACGGAGCAACGCCGCGUGAGUGAUGAAGGUCUUCGGAUCGUAAAACUCUGUUAUUAGGGAAGAACAAAUGUGUAAGUAACUAUGCACGUCUUGACGGUACCUAAUCAGAAAGCCACGGCUAACUACGUG
rnacentral:rRNA from 1 species